UACGUAGGGUGCGAGCGUUGUCCGGAAUUAUUGGGCGUAAAGAGCUUGUAGGCGGUUUGUCGCGUCUGCCGUGAAAUUUCGAGGCUCAACCUCGAACUUGCGGUGGGUACGGGCAGACUAGAGUGUGGUAGGGGAGACUGGAAUUCCUGGUGUAGCGGUGAAAUGCGCAGAUAUCAGGAGGAACACCGGUGGCGAAGGCGGGUCUCUGGGCCGUAACUGACGCUGAGGAGCGAAAGCGUGGGGAGCGAACAGG
rnacentral:rRNA from 1 species